CUGGAUUUUCAGAAAAAAAAAGAGAGAGUUGACCAAAUCUUGACCUUUUAAUCUGUUGCUCGGAUGACCGAUCGGAGAUCGCGGUUGUGUUCAUCUCGUCGAGACGAACCCAUUUUGCUAUUCAUAUGUCCGUUCCGGGCACUCUGGGACCCGUAGCGAGCCUAAUAAACUUAGACCGUUCGUUGUUUUGAAAAAAAAAUAUAUAUAAAAAAAAGAGAGGAUAAGUGCUGGAUGGAUCGGUCCUCAACCCGAUCCAUCCAGACUCUUCCCCGUGUGCGGUCUCUCUCUCGAACUCUCUCUCUCGCGCGAACUCUCUUUCCUGCCGGGUUUAGCCGCCGGCCGCCGCAGCCCGCCGCUGCAGCCCGCCGACUGCCGUGCCCCGACCGCCGCCGCCGCGCCCCCUGCUGCGUCGUCGGCGCUGCCGCUGCGCUGCCGUCCGCGCGUUCGUCGGCCGCCGCCGCUGCUGCACACGCCGCCGGCCGCGCCCACCGGCCACCGCCAGCCCCGCCACCGGCGCCUCCCCCCCUCUCUCCCUCGGUGUGUCGCCAAAGCAACCCAGCGACGCAGAGCAGAGAAGCCAGGAAAAAAGAGAAGGAAGAAAGAGAAGAAAAAAAAUGAAAGAAAGGAAAAAAAGAGAGAAAAAGGAAAAAAAAAGAAGGGGAAAAGUUGGAAAUUUUCGGAAUUUCGUCGGAUUCGUCGUCAAACUUUCGAAGGCGGAUUUUCGGUGGUACCUCUUCUGGGCGGCCGUGAUUUUGCUUUUGAUUCGUCGCUUUUGGUGAAAGGCAAGUAACUUGGGGGUAUGUUUAACUGCUGACGUGCAUUUUGGGGUUGGAUCUGGGUAGUUGCACACACUAUCUUACCAUGAUGUCGAUAGCUCAACUGGUGAAUACAAGUGGUGUGUCUGAUGGUCUGUCGUUUGCUUCUUUUUUUUUUGUGGUACGACGCUGGUAGCAUCGUGGUGGACUCUAUUUACAGGCUGGUUAUACCUACUCUUGUCUGCCUAUGAUAUUUUCUUUGGUCAGUUAUACCUCUUUAUAGAGGAAAUGCUGUCAAAAUGUCCUAUUUUCAAAUAAAUAGGCUUAGUUGUGAAGUAGGGUGUUACAGCUUGGUAUCAGAGCCUAGGCUUUAGAUCCUAGGUAAUUGAGUGACGAAUCUGACACACUAGCACAAAUAGAAUGGGUAUGGGAUGCAUUGCAUUGCAUACGCCUUGUUUAUCUUUGUUCGCUUAUGUUCGCUAUCUCGAAUAAGUACUAAUGAAGUUACUUGUUCAAUUCUUCACAUGUUCUUUAGUGUUUUAUCGUUGAUAUAUAUUGUUAAGUUGUUGGAGUCAGUUCCGUUGGAAUGGUGGUUUUGUUAGGAUGUUAAAAGGGCUACCUUGGUCAUUAGAACCUGAGAAGCUUCAGAGGAUCAAUGGUAUAGCUGUUGUAUGGCACUGCAGAAGGGUUAAGUGGAGGGCCCCCAUGAUGCUUUUUCUGCAUUGCCAGGUGAGGUUGACCAAGAGUUAGGUUUGCGAUCCAAUUAUCCACAUACAGAGCGAAUA